rnacentral:tRNA from 1 species
GCCGGGUUGGCGCAACGGUUGACGCGGAGGUCUCAAACACCUCUGUCCGAAAGGACAUGUGGGUUCGAAUCCCAUACCCGGCACCA